GACGAACGCUGGCGGCGUGCUUAACACAUGCAAGUCGAGCGGAGCGGCGAACGGGUGAGUAACGCGUGAGUAACUGCCCCCCUCUCUGGGAUAACCGUUGGAAACGGCUGCUAAUACCGGAUAGUGGGGGAUGACUCGCGUCCUAUCAGCUUGUGGGUGGGGUAGUGGCCUACCAAGGCGACGACGGGUAGCCGGCCUGAGAGGGCGACCGGCCACAAUCGGCUGAGAUACGGCCCAAACUGCUACGGGAUGCAGCAGGGGGGAAUAAUGCACAAUGGGGGAAACGCUAAUGCAGCAACGCCGAGUGCGGGAUGACGGCGUUCGGGUAGUAAACCGCUUUCAGCGAUGACGCGGUAGUGGCAGAAGAAGCACCGGCUAACUACGUGCCAGCAGCCGCGGUAAUUC
rnacentral:rRNA from 1 species